AUGGAUGAGGUCACAAGGGGUAUACAAGGAGAUAUCCCAUGGUGUAUGCUCUUUGCGGAUGAUGUGGUGCUAGUUGACGAUAGUCGGACGGGGGAAAAUAGGAAGUUAGAGUUAUGGAGACAAACCUUGGAAUCGAAAGGGUUUAGGCUUAGUAGAACUAAAACCGAGUACAUGAUGUGCGGUUUCAGUACUACUAGCUGUGAGGAGGAGGAGGUUAGCCUUGAUGGCCAGGUGGUACCUCAGAAGGACACCUUUCGGUAUUUGGGGUCAAUGUUGCAGGAGGAUGGGGGUAUUGAUGAAGAUGUGAACCAUCGAAUCAAAGCCGGAUGGAUGAAGUGGCGCCAAGCUUCUGGCAUUCUCUGUGACAAGAGAGUGCCACAAAAGCUAAAAGGCAAGUUCUACAAGACGGCGGUUCGACCCGCAAUGUUGUAUGGCGCGGAGUGUUGGCCGACAAAAAGGCGACAUGUUCAACAGUUAGGUGUGGCGGAGAUGCGUAUGUUGAGAUGGAUGUGUGGCCACACGAGGAAGGAUCGAGUCCGGAAUGAUGAUAUACGAGAUAGAGUUGGGGUAGCACCAAUUGAGGAGAAGCUUGUCCAACAUCGUUUGAGAUGGUUUGGGCAUAUUCAGCACAGGCCUCCAGAAGCUCCAGUGCAUAGCGGACGGCUAAAGCGUGCGGAGAAUGUCAAGAGAGGGCGGGGUCGACCGAUUUUGACAUGGGAGGAGUCCGUUAAGAGAGACCUGAAGGAUUGGAGUAUCGACAAAGAGCUAGCUAUGGACAGGGGUGCAUGGAAGCUUGCUAUCCAUGUGCCAGAGCCAUGA
rnacentral:rRNA from 1 species